rnacentral:rRNA from 1 species
CCUACGGGUGGCAGCAGUGAGGAAUAUUGGUCAAUGGGCUUACGCCUGAACCAGCCAAGUCGCGUGAGGGAAGACUGCCCUAUGGGUUGUAAACCUCUUUUGUCAGGGAGCAAUAGGCGCUACGUGUAGCGUUAUCGAGAUUACCUGAAGAAAAAGAUUCGGCUAACUCCGGGCCGGCAGCCGCGGUAAUACGAGGGAUGCGAGGUUUAUCCGGAUUUAGUGGGUUGAAAGGGGGCGUAGUGGGAAUGCCAAGUCAGCGGUAAAAUGGGGGGGCUCAACCUCUCUGAGCCGUUGAAACUGGUGUUCGUGAGUGGGUGAGAAGUAUGCGGAAUGCGUGGUGUAGCGGUGAAAUGCAUAGAUAUCACGCAGAACUCCGAUUGCGAAGGCAGCAUACCGGCGCCCAACUGACGCUGAAGCACGAAAGCGUGGGUAUCGAACAGGAUUAGAUACCCCUGUAGUC